GCCUUUUGAAAUGAUGUGUGGAGAAUGACUGCAUGGAAAGGGAUGCAUGGAUGGUCUGUACCGAAUUGGAACCAGUGGCGCAUGCUCAUCAAAAGAGCCUAUAUUGAUCAUUUCAAUGACUUAUUUAUCUUUUAAUGCAACUGUCUUUUAGAAACCUUUCCCAGUCACUAAAUCCUGGCAACUGGACAGAGAAAAUUGAAUUACAAACUCAGAAUGCCCUUUACACCACACUGGAUGCUCCCUAUGUCUUUUCUAUUAUUGACAUGCCACUUUUUGACAGUGGUGGUGUAUCAUCCUUAUGGAAAAUUUUGACCUUGGAAGGUGAGACCGCAAAGAUUUUGAGGUUUGAGUGAC